AUGUAUUUCCACUAUUUAAAAAUAAUAAUUGGCUGUGGAGGAUCCUCUUGUACCCCUCCUGGGAAACCUGCAUGCUCAGUCACCUCUCUGAAAUGCCUGUAUGCCAAUACACGCGGCAUGGGGAAUAAACAGGAAGAAGUAGAGAUUUGUGUGCAGUUGCAGGGCCUUGAUCUCAUUGCUUUUACAGAGACAUGGUGGGAUAGCUCGCAUGACUGGAGUGCUGUCAUGGAUGGCUACGUGCUUUUUAGGAAAGACAGGCUAGGAAAGCGAGGUGGUGGGGUUGCUCUUUAUGUGAGAGAGCAACUGGAAUGUAUGGAGCUGUGCCUAGGGGUGGAUGAAGAGCGAGUCGAGAGCUUAUGGGUAAGGAUUAAAGGGCAGGCUAGCAUGGGUGACACUGUUGUGGGUGUUUACUACAGGCCACCUGAUCAGGAAGAGGAAGCUGAUGAGGGCUUCUACAGACAACUGGAGGUAGCCUCACGAUCCCAGGCCCUGGUUCUCAUGGGGGACUUCAACCACCCYGAUAUCUGCUGGAAAGACAACACAGCUAGGCACAAACAGUCCUGGAGGUUCCUGCAGAGCACUGGUGACAACUUCUUGACACAGGUGGUGGAGGAGCCAACAAGGAGAGGUGUGCUGCUGGACCUCGUACUAACAAACAAAGAAGGACUGGUGGAAGAUGUGAAGGUCGGGGGCAGCCUUGGCUGCAGUGACCAUGAGAUGGUGGAGUUCAGGAUCCUGGGAGGAGGCAGCAGGGCACUAAGUAGGAUCGCAACCCUGGACUUCAGGAGAGCAAACUUUGGCCUCUUCAGGGACCUGCUUGGAGGAAUCCCAUGGGUUAGGGCCCUAGAAGGAAGGGGGGUUCAAGAGAGCUGGUUAAUAUUCAAACAUCACUUCCUCCAGGCUCAAGAGCGGUGCAUCCCUAUGAGUAGGAAGUCAAGCAAAGGGGGCAGGAGAGCUGCAUGGAUGAGCAAGGAGCUCCUGGCAAAACUCAACCAGAAGAAGGAAGUAUACAGAAAGUGGAAAGGGGGACAGGCCACUUGGGAGGAAUAUAGAAACGCUGUCAGAGUAUGCAGGGAUGCGACAAGGAAGGCUAAGGCCCAUUUGGAAUUAAAUCUGGCAAGAGAUGUCAAGGACAACAAGAAGGGCUUCUUCAAAUACAUCAGUAGCAAGAGGAAGACUAGGGAAAAUGUGGGCCUGCUGCUGAAUGGGGUGGGUGCCCUGGUGACAAAGGAUGCAGAGAAGGCAGAGUUACUGAAUGCCUUCUUUGCUUCAGUCGUCACUGCUGAGGCCAGCCCUCAGGAACCCCUGACCCUGGAGGCAAGAGAGAAAGUCUGGAGAAAGGAAGACUUUCCCUUGGUUGAGGAGGAUCGGGUUAGAGAUCAUUUAAGCAAACCUGACACCCACAAAUCCAUGGGCCCUGAUGGGAUGCACCCACAAGUGCUGAGGGAGCUGGUGGACAUUAUUGCUAAGCCACUCUCCAUCAUCUUUGAAAGGUCAUGGAGAACACGAGAGGUGCCUGAAGACUGGAAGAAAGCCAAUGUCACCCCAGUCUUCAAAAAGGGCAAGAAAGAGGACCCAGGGAACUACAGGCCAGUCAGCCUCAGCUGCAUCCCUGGAAAGGUGAUGGAGCAGCUCAUGCUGGAGGCCAUCUCCAAGCAUGUGGAGGACAAGAAGGUGAUCAGGAGUAGUCAGCAUGGCUUCACCAAGGGGAAAUCAUGCCUAACCAAUCUGCUAGCCUUCUAUGCUGGAAUGACUGGCUGGGUAGAUGAGGGGAGAGCAGUGGAUGUUGUCUACCUAGACUUCAGCAAGGCUUUUGACACUGUCUCCCAGAACAUCCUCAUAGACAAGCUCAGGAAGUGUGGGCUGGAUGAGUGGACAGUGAGGUGGAUUGAGAGCUGGCUGAAUGGCAGAGCUCAGAGAGUUGUGAUCAGUGGCGCAGAGUCUAGUUGGAGGCCUGUAGCUAGCAGUGUCCCCCAGGAGUCAGUACUGGGUCCAGCCUUGUUCAGCUUAUUCAUCAGUGACGUGGAUGAAGGGACAGAGUGCACCCUCAGCAAGUUUGCUGAUGAUACAAAACUGGGAGGAGUGGCUGAUACAGCAGAGGGCUGUGCUGCCAUUCAGAGAGACUUGGACAGGCUGGAGAGGUAG
rnacentral:lncRNA from 1 species